AUUGCAAUAAACGUAAUAUCGAAAAUCGACGGAACGUACUAAAAUGUCUGUCCGUAAUGUACGAUACUGUUGUACUGUUCAAAUUACGCGACAUAUCGUUCGUGACUCGAUACACUGGGAAAAGAAACAAUUCGAUUACUCGAUCGGUAUUUGGCACAAUCCGAGCACGAAUGAUUUACAAAUGGUUGGAUAUAUAUUCAUACACAUGCAGCG